ACUGGCAGGGUGGUGGUGAUUGAUUCAAUCCAUCCUGGCUCCAGGUGUCUAUCCUCAUAGGUGAGGCCCUUCCUUUCCUCAGGAAUGCGGUCUGCUGAGGUCUGCACAUCCCCACGACGGGUCCCAGUAGGAGGUCAUCUUCGGCACCUCAUGGGUGGCGGAUUCAUGGCUAAGCCUCAGGGGCAUCUACCUUGGCCACUCACGGUUACUUAGUCUUACGGACCCAGCCUUGCCAGCCAACGUUCUGGGCGGCCUCACAAAAAGAUAAGCUGCAGAGGGUACCUGCGGCUCCUAGUCUGGUCCUGGCCAGCUUCUCCUGGAGCGUGAGGGCUGAGCUUUGCCAGAGUCGAAUGCCCUUAUCACUUCCACGCCCCCGGGGCCCCUUGCUUCCAUCUGCCCAAAGGUGCCCAGAAUCCAGGCUGCCUCGCAGCUCCAGCAAAGGCCAGGUACUCUGUGGGGGCUGGGAUAACAAAUACAAGAGCCACCCAGAUUCCUACCCAACUCCACCCAGAGGGGGCCCCAUCCACCAUUCCAGAGGCCCCUGUUCCUACAGCCUGGUGGGAGUUCUCUCAGGAACAGGCCUGGAGGUAUGAGCCACUUGACUGACAGAUGAGAGUUCACGUCCUGGGCUGGCAUACAGAGCCCCUGCCCCAAGUAAACAGUGGAUUGUGAGUCAGAAGACCUAAGUUCUAAAUCUGGCAUUCAUGUCAUCAAUCAGCUGUGUGACCUGGGGCAGGUCACUUACCUUCCCCAGGCCUUAGUUACCCCUCCAUAAAAUGAGAAGCCUGGAGUAAAUGAUCUUUAAGGCCUCUUCCAACUCAGGUAUAUGACUGUAGCCUAAUGCCAGGUAUAGACGUAGUAGGUGUUCAGGAAAUGUUUAUUUAGUAAUUUAACGAUAAGAUUCAAGGCAAGAUUCUGCAGGUCCCAGUACCCAUAUACUUCCUCACUAUGAGUUUUGCCUCUGCUGUUAGUUAAUUUGUGUCAAGUGCCAGCUCAACAGGUAUUAGACCAAGUUUCACAGGGAUGUUACACAUGCGAGAGCUUUGUGUCACAGCUGCGGAGCGCUGAGCUUGGGAAACCCACCACUGUCCCCUCCUACCGCCGCUACUUUUAUCGUCCCCUGCUCACGGAGAUAGUUUGUGUGGCACAACUUCGUCAUCAGCCCCGCACCCAGAUUCGGCCGCCAGCUGCCCGUCCUCGCUCCAGCCCUUCUCAAGACUGGU